rnacentral:lncRNA from 1 species
UGGGAAUUACUGUAGAAGUGUUACUGUUUUUUAACUAUCAUGUAUAGAUAUGUACUUGCAUAGCUAUUUCCUAUGUAUCCUGAGCUGUUAAUGAAAUAAUGGUGCUUUUUGCUUGUUUUAGAUGUAGGCUCAUGAUUUGUUAAUGGAAAUUAUAAUCUAGUUUCCAUUGGCUCUGAAAUCUGACCAAACUUGUAUCUUUAUUAAAUUUCUAGGACUGUGAGGGGAUAUGAAUUCCCUGUGGCCCUGAAGAGGAAAAAGAAAUUACUUUUUGACUGUGAUUGGACAGCAUAAAAAAUUGCAUUGUCUUAGAUGAACAAAAUGAGUGAAGCCACACCAACUAACAGCAGUGGCUGAAGGUGGAUAUCAUUAAGCCUGCAGAAAGUUUUCUACUAAGGAAUCAUUGUCAACUGAUUCUGACCUGUCAUAGAUUUUUUUUAUUGUUGUACAUUGGAUUUUGCAUCCAGAGGUCAUCUCAACCACAGUUUCUGCCUGCCUGUUCUCAUGUCUGCUCAGGAUGAAUGAAAGUGCUGCAGAAAAUAUUGUUCUUUUGCACUUUACUU